rnacentral:lncRNA from 1 species
CCAGCGCCUGCCCCUGGCUCAGCGCCUGGUGCCAACAGAACACCUUUCAGGAUCCACAGCAACGCAGACAACGUAAGUACCAGCUGUUUCCUGAAACCCUUUCUCAGAUUUUUUUUUUAAACGACCACCUAAAACAUAGAGAAAAACAAGCCUCUUUCCCCUUCUUUCCCCUUCUUCUCCCCUGCGUUAUGCCACCAGGGUUUCCUAAGUAGCACCUUCCAAAUCCCUCUGCCUUCAAGUUUGUGCAUGUCUGUGUGGCAUCCCUCCUCCUCCUUCACUCCCAUAGUGGAUCUUGUAAAAGGGCUUCAGAUCGGCCCCAUUCAUCUCCCUGGUGAUAGCAGUGAAUGUAGAUAAAUCUCUGACUGCCUGCUUGCUGCUCGAGUAUGAUUUUUAUUUUGUCUUCUGUGUAUACCUGGGUCAAAAAGUGGGAUUGUAUGCACACACAUACAUGCACAUACACACGUUUCCUUCUCUCUCCUUCUCUGUCCUCUCCUUUUUUCUCACACAUGCAUACAUCCCACAUAUGUGUAUAUAUGCAUAAACAUACAUACCUAUAUACACACCCAUACCUAUAACAAAAAUAUAUACAUAUCUAAAUGUUUAAUUUGUCUGAAAAUAAUGUGCAUUUACAUACACAUACAGCCUUACAACUGUGUCUAUAUGCAAUCGAUAGGUGCCUAUCUUUUAAUUUAUACCCAUCUAUAUCUCCAUUUAAAUAUCCCCUCUCUUCUCCCAGCAGAAGCUGUGUGCAAUUGCAAUCCAGGAUUGUACAAGCCGUAUUCUUUCCUUAUGAUUUCUCUUUGUAGACCUUUAUGCUCCCUUCUCUGCCUUCUUCCGAGCUGUAGAAUUGGCAUCUUUCCCUGAGGUUUUCCGAAUGGCAAGUGGCACCGGCUGUGGCAUGCAUUCACGCCGCUUCCUAUGGCAUUUCUCUUCCGAUGUCUGCUUUUUCUCUUUGUUUGUUGUUGACUAGGCUGAAUGGUGGGGGUUUUUUUAAGUUAAUUAUAAACGAAGUUGAAUAGCAAACAAACCAACAGCUUGCCCAAAAAGAAAAAAACAGCCCGACACAAGCGCCUUCUGCUGCAACAGAUGCCCAGAUCACCCCUGGCAUGGGCAAAUGGGCACACGAUUUUGGUGGUUGUUAAUUUUUUCUGUUUGUUGCUGUAUUUGUUGUUUGUUUUCCUUGUUUCCUUUUGAUUUUUCAAGGAGUCCAAGAUCCCGGCCUCUGCUUGGAACGGAACAGUGUCAUGGCGGAGACGACGGCCUUUGUCUUGCUGGGUGUGAAAGCAUCCGCUGUGCUGGCUCCACUGCGGCAGAAUCAAGUUUAAAGGAAGAAAGUGAUUAAAGUCAGCUUUGUGCCUCUUUGGUGUGGAAGACCCCCAAACCCCAAGUAGCCGAGUCCCUGGGUCCGAGGAAGGGCUCAUAGUUGGAGCAGCCUAGGCUGUAAUCCUGGCACUUGCGCCUUCGGUUGCUGCUUGCUGUUCGCUCCUGGGGGUCUGGAUAAUCUCCCUUGGCUUUACCGCACUGUCUGGCCCGCAUACAGGGCCCUCGUAACAUAUACCCGCUGCUGCUAUCACACGAAACUGUGGCGUUGCCCCUGAAUGGAUGGCACCGUGCCAACUCUUCUGCCAUCCGCCCUUGCAGCUUUUUUCUUUCCUCCCUCCCUCCCCUUCUUCUCCUCCUCCUCCCGUCGACUUGACGUUAAUUAACACACGGGUUAAUUGAUUUUAAAAGCCGAAGAAUUACAGUUAACUUUUCCCACAGGGUACAGACGCCAGCCGCUUGGCACACUCUGCCUUUCACACUGGUGCAGGGGGGCAGGGAAAGCCCGCAGCAGAACUGGCAACUGCUGAGGGAACGUUGCCUGCUUAUUGGAGUAGAGCCGAUAGAAGUCGACGUGGUGCUGCCUCAUCCUUACAGUAUAUAUAGCCAUUCGAUAUUUUGUUAAAUAAUCAAGCACACCCUGUCUUUCUUCUCCCUUCGUCU